ACUCCAUCCUCUCUUUCCUGACCCGACGACUCUCUCCCAAAUAGCGCUCGCUCUCCGACGACGGCGACGCUCCCUGCCGACGACGGCCUGUCUCUCUACUCGCCGGCCUCUUCCUCCCGAAUCGCGCUCUCUCCUGACGCUGGGCUUUCUCCGACGAGGGCCGCGCUCUCUCCGCUAUGGUCAAAGCCGUCUCCCGAGAAGCCCUAGAUCUGCGACGACAAUCCCCGCUUCACUUCGUACAGGGCCGACGAGGUCCUUGGUCGGAACUGGUGAGUUGGUCCCUCUCGUGUCGAUUUGAUUCGUGGGGCUUUUCCCGGCCGCCUCUGUUUUGGUCGGUCUAGCGGGUAGUGGAAAUGGAGAGGAUUUCUGGGCUCUGCUCUUCUUUUGUUUUGCUGUAUAGGGGUAUUCCUGGAUCUAUCUGUCGGAUGAAGGAGAGCUUGUUGUUUUGAAGUUUGAGAUAUGUUGUAAAGGAGCGAUUUUUCCGGCUGCCUCUGUUUUGGUCGUUCUAGUGGGUAGUGGAAAUGGAGAGGAUUUCUGGGCUCUGAUCUUCUUUGUCUUACUGUUUGGGGUAGUCCUGGGAUCUAUCUGAAGAAUGAAGGAGAACUUGUUGCUUUGAUGUUUGAGAUUUGUUGUAAAGGAGCGACUUUUCGCGGAGGGCACGUGUUAACUCGUUUGGUAUGUGAGAGAAUUUGAAGGAUAGAAGGAAUACGAGGUAAGAGAUGUUGAUUGGUGUACCAGAGAGCGUGAAAAUAGGGAGGUUUUAUUGGUACAUCAUCAGUAAUAAUUUCAAUUUGGGCUGUGGUCUUGUAAUAUAGAUAUAGCGUAUUUAAUAGGCAGACCAAUCAGAAUAUUUUCUCUCUUUUCAUCCAAUUAACCACGCUGCCGCCUUUGCCUUUGCCACCUCCGACCAAAAGCUCCUCCAGUCUCACUCCCCAAUUUAGCUGCCGCCUUGCGGAACCCGAAGGAUUACUUUACAUGGCUGAUCGCAUUGCUCAUAACUUGAAGGGUUCACAAGAUUCUGGGUCUGCUAUUGACAUGAUGACCAGCACCAUAACUGUCAGUAGUCAAACCAACUGUUGCUCAUAAUGCUGAGGAGGAUUUAACUGCUGUAAAGAAUAAAAUUUGGGAUAGUCAAACCAGAAGGUGGCAAGCAAUUGGCAUGCUAAGGCAUGUUCUGUUCAGCUACUCUACCUUGGAGAUUAAAGAAACAUGCCAUUGACUUCUUGCUUUGCACCACAGAAGGAGAUAUCUCACAGAGAGUGAGAGUGAAACUCUAGAUUUCUCAUAAUUUGUUCCUAGCCAUUUUGCUGCCUUGCAGGUAUUAUGGUGAAAGAUGUUGAUUUUAUGCUAUUUUCCUAGCCUUGCGGGUAUUAUAGUGGAAAAUGGCUUCACGCCAGUACUCGAGAGUGAUGCUGAAUGGGCAUUGGGAAGGAGGCAUUCUUCCCUCAGAGGCUAAAAGAUGUUCCACCCAUGGCUUCUUAAUCUGAUCCAGAUGAAUCGAGAAGAAACAAAAUCGAAGUCUCAUCAAAAGGGUAUUGGGAAGGAGGCAUUACAAAAUCAUUGCAUUGGUUUGCUACUGCAGUGACAUAAAUGCUGUGAAAAUUUUGAAUACAUGGAUUCUAAAUAGUCAAAUUCCUACGCCGCUUGGCAUUCAAAUUC